CCCACAUACCAAGCAAAGAUAAUUCUUCUGCCAUUUUCGACAACAGUAAUUCGUGUUCUCUCAACUUCUCGGACUUUUUAACGAUUUUAUGAUGUUAUUCAAAUGCUUGUGGCUCUAAAGUUUGGGGGUUGGAUCCCUUUAUAUAGCCCAUAUAUAUAUGCACGAUCCAAUGUCGAGGUUACCUGGGAAUGCCUUUGCACCACAAGUUAUUCUGUAAUUAAUUAAUUACGGCCUGUACAUGAUAUCGUGAUUAAGAUAUUGAAUUUCUAUUGUAUAAAUAUUAUGGUAAGAAAAAGCUGGGAGUUGGUACUUGGAGACUUUCCGAUGAUUGACCGGGGAAGAAAAGAAGCUGCCAAUGGCUGCUUUACCCGUUGAAUUAUUGGAACUCUAGAUUCGAAAUAGUCGGGAAUCCCAAUUCCCAUACAUACUAAAUAGUUGGAUAUAGGUGGGACGAUGGACUCAUAUGAUCAAAAUACGUCAUUGAUGAUCUUUUAUCUCAAGAUUAUGAGCUGAAAGCUGAUGUCAGCCAUGAACAUGCUAAGACCAGUGAGCGUUUGCUAUUCAACAGAGACAGCAAAAUAAAAUAUUACAAAAAAAGUGGAAUUGGUACGAAAUGCUAGUUCAAGGGACCCCAAUUCGCGUGUCCGGCAAUUUAGAAUCUGCCUGCGAUUCUAACCCGCUUCAGACGAAUUCUCUUCUGGGAAAUGGGUGGGGUCAACUAUUUGGCGCCAAAUCUCUUCCUUCGCCCCUUUUUUCUUUUUUUGGUAUUAUAUUAGCUGGUUUGGGACGGAUGUUGUGUCUCCCACUCUUACCUCUUGUAUUUUAUUACUGUUUUAUAUAUCUAUAAUAUGUUUGAUUAGAAAAAAAAAAAUCUGCCUUUGAUAUACAUGAUAUGGCUUUGAUCUCACAUUACAAUAUAUAUGUUGUCAAGACUCACAAUAAUAUAUACAUAUAUAAAUAUAUAUAUAUAUGUUGUUCACAUCUAGGGCUGAACAAAAAGUUCGAAAUACCGAUCCGACCCGAAAAUCCACUUUUACCCGAUUUGGAAAAUUGACCCGUUUACGUUAAAAUCGGAAACGGGUAUUACCCAUUACCCGAUUUUAACCCAUUACGAUUCUUAGGCUUUCAGCCCCGUGUGGUUCCCUAGAGAGAGGCGAUUCUCUUCCUUGACGGGGACGUGUCCUGGAGGCGAAGCCGCGGAAGAGGGCCCAAGAAGAUUCCUCGACGGGGUACGACAUCGAUUCCAGGAGGCAGAAGCAGGCUGGAGAAGAUGCCGUGACGGAGGAGGAGGGUUUGUUCCCAAGAAAUUCCAACUAAUGUCGUAGUUGUGGUCGGUGAUGCAAAUUUCUCUUUGCAUAAGGUCUGAAAGCAGCCAAGUUUUGUUACGGUGUCAACUUCGAGAUCACAGUCCAGAAUGUGGCAGCUCUUCGUUGCGUGGCUGAGUACCUCCAAAUGACUGAUAAAUACUCCGACGGCAACCUCACUGGCCGCACUGAAGAUUUCCUCACACAGGUCGCCCUGUCCAGCCUCUCCGGUGCCAUUGUUGUCCUUAAAUCUUGCAAGACCUUCUCCCUAAUCUAAUGCCAAUUAAUCUCGAAGGGGAGGGGCACGAGGAAGUUAAUGGCGUACAAGGAGAAGAACAACGCAAGAGGAAGGAGGACGGCAUCAAUGGCUGAACAAAAAGCCCGAAUUGGUGAUUGUGAUUUGGAAUCGGGUAAUCAGUUAACGGGUAAUCGGUAUGAAUCUUUUUCGGUUCGGGUUGGAAUUUGAAUUUUCGGAUUGGAUCGGGUCGGCGUACAUCCCUAUUCACAUCCCCUGCCUAGAAACUUGUACUAUUUUGUUUGUAAGAAGAGAGAUUAUAAUUCAAUUGUCUUUCUAAAGUUUCCUUGUGGUACGUACGCACUUAAUGAGUCUUCAUUGAAAAUUCGAAAGAUGUUAGUCAAAGAUUAAAAAAAACCAUUUUAUAAUGUAAACAAUUAUUUUCUAUGUAUUACACGUUAAAGCAUUCUCCAUU